rnacentral:sRNA from 1 species
GCUGGGCGUGGUGAGCACACCUGUAAUCCCAGCAAUUGAGGAGGCUAAGGCAAGGGAAUUGCAGGUUCCAGGUCAGCCCCAGCAACAUAGCAAGACCCUGUCUCAA